GCCGGGUGCAGUGGCUCACGCCUGUAAUCCCAGUACCUUGGGAGGCUGAGGUGGGUGGAUCACCUGAGGUCAGGAGUUCGAGACCAGCCUGACCAACAUGGAGAAACCCCAUCUCUA
rnacentral:SRP_RNA from 2 species